GGGAAAUUCAGCUAUGUGUCUUUUGCGACAACCGUGAAUUUUUAGGUCUGUGAAGUAGAAGUCCAGAGAUCUAAACUCUGAGGCUGGAACAAGCUUUUUUUUUUUUUUUUUUUUUUUUUUUUUUGAAAUAAGGUCUUACUCUGUUGCCUAGGCUGGAGUGCAAUGGCUUGAUCUUGACUCACUCCAGCCUGACCUCCUGGGCUCAAGGGAUCCGUGCUACACUUGUAUGGACAUAUGUGCCAGUUUUGUCAUAUUUCUAACUAUGCCUUUAACUACUUGCCUUUGAUUAUCUAUGUGUAGACAGUAAUUAGUAAGGUUAAAUUUCUUAUAGACCAUUAUUUCAGCUGCUAGCAAGUAGUUAAGAGCUAAUUUAUUUUGAUAGAUAGCAUUUCUUAUCUGAGUUUUUUGCUGGGCCAGAAUAGUCAAGUCUUGACCAGUUUUAUUAGUGAUGAUUUUUAAAACAGCUUGCAACCGUAUGAUUUGGUUGAGCAUGUAAAUGGGGGUCCAGUAUCCCCAUGAGCUGUCUUGUGUCUAAGUGGCAGGCCUAUAGUAUUGUAUAAUUUUUUUUAGGGGGCCAUUUAUCAUCUUUUUAAUUACCUAUGGCUAUGCUUCAUUUUCCAUGGGAAGCACAGACAG
rnacentral:lncRNA from 1 species